AAAUGUUUAUGAACUCUAUAGCGUUGCACUUCUUUCUUGGAUGUGAUUUAUACUUAGAAUGAAACAAUUAUCAUUCUGCUUUUGUUUUGCAAUGCAAAACAAUAGUUGCUAGGUUUCGUACUCGCAACCAUGUGGUUGACAAAUCUAUUUGUAUUUUAAUUUAGAUGUUUAGAGCAUUCUUGCAAGCUUGUGAAUAACCUUAUUCUUCACCCUAACAUGACAUAAUGGAAUCUCUUUUUAAGUGGAAAGGUUAGUUGAAUUAUAUUAUGCGAUUGUCAAUACUUAGGUAGAAAUUUAACUGUCAAUAUUUAGGUAAAAAUUGAACGCGUGGUUGAACUGCUUAUGGAUUGGAAUAUGGUGGUGUGAUGCCAUUUCAGUUUGUUUGCUUCCACAUCCACCCCUGAAUGCAUUGUUUCAUCCUGUGAAUAUAGUGGUCCGGUAAGCAAAGCCACUAAGCAAAGCCACAAAUCAGUAAGACUAAGACCACAGUUUUUCUCCUUCAAAGAAGAUGAAGAAAGAAGAGCAAAGUAGACCUCGUCAUCUUCUAGAAGCUUCAUGAUAGAUGGGUCCAUGGCGAUUUCACUGCAGUUGUAAUCUCUGUUGCUCUAUUUAACCAAAACAAACUCAGAAAAUUUGCUUCACACCAUAUCUUAGCUCAUAAGAGGAAGCAAACAAAAUGAAAUGGCAUCACACCACCAUGUUCCAAUCCAUAAGCAGUUCAACCACGCGUUCAAUUUUUACCUAAAUAUUGACAGUUAAAUUUCUACCUAAGUAUUGACAAUCGCAUAAUAUAAUUCAACUAACCUUUCCACUUAAAAAGAGAUUCCAUUAUGUCAUGUUAGGGUGAAGAAUAAGGUUAUUCACAAGCUUGCAAGAAUGCUCUAAACAUCUAAAUUAAAAUACAAAUAGAUUUGUCAAACACAUGGUUGCGAGUGCGAAACCUAACAACUAUUGUUUUGCAUUGCAAAACAAAAGCAGAAUGAUAAUUGUUUCAUUCUAAGUAUAAAUCACAUCCAAGAAAGAAGUGCAAAGCUAUAGAGUUCAUAAACAUUUAUGAAAUCUAUAGCUCUGUUCUAUGCACAUCAAAGUUAUGCAGUAAAAUCAUAUUACAAGAUGUUUUAAUUUCU
rnacentral:lncRNA from 1 species